rnacentral:rRNA from 1 species
UACAGAGGGGGCAAGCGUUGUUCGGAAUUCCUGGGCGUAAAGGGCGCGUAGGCGGCCCGCUAAGUCGAACGUGAAAUCCCUGGGCUCAACCCAGGAACUGCGUCCGAUACUGGCAGGCUUGAAUCCGGGAGAGGGAUGCGGAAUUCCAGGUGUAGCGGUGAAAUGCGUAGAUAUCUGGAGGAACACCGGUGGCGAAGGCGGCAUCCUGGACCGGUAUUGACGCUGAGGCGCGAAAGCGUGGGGAGCAAACAGG